AAAGGCCCCAAGGCCACCUCCUUCUACCUCAGGUGCCUGAGGAAGCAGUGUCCUGUGAGUGUCCCCACCAUGGCCUGGAUGGUGCUCCUGCUCGGGGUCCUUGCUUACAGCUCAGGUGUGGAUUCUCAGACUGUCAUCACCCAGGAGCCGUCACUGUCCGUUUCUCCAGGAGGGAAGAUCACACUCACCUGUGGCCUUAGUUCUGGGUCAGUCUCUAUUGGUAACUACCCUGGCUGGUACCAGCAGACCCCAGGCAAGGCUCCCCGCACGCUCAUCUGCAGCACAAGCAGCCGGCCCUCUGGGGUCCCUGAGCGCUUCUCUGGAUCCAUCUCUGAGAACAAAGCCGUCCUCACCAUCACGGGGGCCCAGCCUGAGGAUGAGGCCGACUAUUACUGUGCUCUGGAUAUGGGUAGUGAUACUUACACAGUGAUGUGAACCCAUGGGGAAGUUGAACCAAAACCUCCUUUUGUGCUCAAAAUGGCUCAGCUUUAAUGACAAGGAAAGAGACAGAGUGGAAAUGGUAAGCACAGGAAGGGGAGGGGCUCCUGGGCCCGAUACCCAUGUCCAGUGGCUCCUGUCUACAUGCCUUCACCAGUCUACCCCCAGGGUGUGCCCAUGUGUCCCAUGUGACCCUGCAGAAUGGGCUUCCUCUCCUUCUCUCUCCCUAGAACCAUGAUGGGGUGAGGGCUCAGUGCUGACACAUUAACCAUCAGACAGACCCAGAGCCCUCACUGCCCCUUGUAGUCCUGCCUGUGUUCAAGGAGCUUUAACAGGAUUUACUCUCAUGUAUUGAUUUCACCCUGUAGUCCUUGUGAGGGUUUUAUUAGCAUUUAAGUGAGGGUGUCACUGGGAGCUUGCAGGUGAUGCUGCUCCCUGACUAGGCUGCUGAGUGACUGUGUUUGUGAGCAAAACCUGUUUGAACAAGUCAUUUAGACUUCUUUAGCAACAAUAAAGUUU